rnacentral:rRNA from 1 species
UGGGGAAUAUUGGACAAUGGGCGAAAGCCUGAUCCAGCAAUGCCGCGUGGGUGAAGAAGGUCUUCGGAUUGUAAAGCCCUUUCGGCGGGGACGAUGAUGACGGUACCCGCAGAAGAAGCCCCGGCUAACUUCGUGCCAGCAGCCGCGGUAAUACGAAGGGGGCUAGCGUUGCUCGGAAUGACUGGGCGUAAAGGACGCGUAGGCGGCGCACUUAGUCGGGCGUGAAAGUCCUGGGCUCAACCUGGGGACGGCGCUCGAUACGGGUGUGCUUGAGUGUGGAAGAGGGUUGUGGAAUUCCCAGUGUAGAGGUGAAAUUCGUAGAUAUUGGGAGGAACAUCUGUGGCGAAGGCGACUGCCUGGACCAGCACUGACACUGAGGCACGAAAGCGUGGGGAGCAAACA